rnacentral:sRNA from 1 species
AAAAAGGUAAUUUUUAUUACCUCUCUUUAAGUUCAAUACAACAACAUCGACAUGGAUAUUGGAUUGUGAAGGCGAAAGAGAGAGAGAGAAAGAGAUGGCACGACUUGGUACCAAAUACGAGUCGAACUCUUGUCCUGAAGUGUAGAGGCCUAAACCAGUACACAACCAACUGGACAAGGUUAGAUUUGGUGGAAAGCC